GACAGAGGGUGCAAACGUUGCUCGGAAUCACUGGGCGUAAAGGGCGUGUAGGCGGGUAGGAAAGUCAGAUGUGAAAUCCCCGGGCUCAACCUGGGACCUGCAUUUGUGACUGCAUAGCUAGAGUACGGUAGAGGGGGAUGGAAUUCCGCGUGUAGCAGUGAAAUGCGUAGAUAUGCGGAGGAACACCGAUGGCGAAGGCAAUCCCCUGGACCUGUACUGACGCUCAUGCACGAAAGCGUGGGGAGCAAACAGG
rnacentral:rRNA from 1 species